ACGAAUCCACGCCGGUAUACCGGUACUCC
rnacentral:sRNA from 1 species